CGGAGUCUCCGACUCUCUGUCUCGUCUCCGACUCUCCGACUCUCCGACUCUCCGUCUCGCUAUAUUCGCUCGGGCCGACGGACGAACUCUCAGGCGACCGGCCGAGUGCCGAGUGCCGACGGACGAUUGGACGAACUCUCAGAGUCUCAGGCGACGGGCCGACGGACUCUCACUCCUCUCGAGUCUCGCCGUCUGUGGCUCAGCGCCUCAGCCGGCUCUCUCGACGCGGCGACGCCCCUGUCAUCGAGACAUCGACUACCGGACUACGGUCUACGGAUCUACCUAGUCAGCUAGUCUACGGAUCUCCUCGCGCGGUCUCGCGGUCUCGCCCCUACGGAUCUCCGUUCGAGACGAGUCAGACUACUCUCCAAGACUCCAACUCUCCAUCUCCGAUUCUCCGAGAAUCCGAGAGUCCGAGUCUCCGACUACACCAGGUAAGGGCCGU
rnacentral:lncRNA from 1 species